rnacentral:rRNA from 1 species
AUUGGACGCUGGCGGCAUGCCUUACACAUGCAAGUCGAACGGCAACAGGUCUUCGGAUGCUGACGAGUGGCGAACGGGUGAGUAAUACAUCGGAACGUGCCUAGUAGUGGGGGAUAACUACUCGAAAGAGUGGCUAAUACCGCAUGAGAUCUACGGAUGAAAGCAGGGGAUCGCAAGACCUUGUGCUACUAGAGCGGCCGAUGGCAGAUUAGGUAGUUGGUGGGAUAAAAGCUUAACAAGCCGACGAUCUGUAGCUGGUCUGAGAGGACGAUCAGCCACACUGGGACUGAGACACGGCCCAGACUCCUCCGGGAGGCAGCAGUGGGGAAUUUUGGACAAUGGGCGCAAGCCUGAUCCAGCAAUGCCGCGUGCAGGAUGAAGGCCUUCGGGUUGUAAACUGCUUUUGUACGGAACGAAAAGCCCUGGGUUAAUACCCUGGGGUCAUGACGGUACCGUAAGAAUAAGCACCGGCUAACUACGUGCCAGCCGCCGCUGUAACAC